UCUCCGUAGGUGAACCUGCGGAGGGAUCAUUACAGAGUUCUCGCCCCUCCGGGUAGAUCUCCCACCCACUGUGAUUGAUACUGUGUUGCGUUGGCGGGCGCGCGCCAGCCGGAGGCUCCGCAAACUCUGAAUGUCCGUGUCGUCUGAGUACUAUAUAAUAGUUAAAACUUUCAACAACGGAUCUCUUGGUUCUG
rnacentral:misc_RNA from 1 species